rnacentral:siRNA from 1 species
AGCUAAGAUGGACCAAGACGCGU